ensembl:lncRNA
GCGUUCAACUCGCCUUCAACUCCUCUCCGCGGUCACCAACUUUCGGCCAGUCCGCAGACAGACAGAAGAAGCUGCUGAAAGCUCUCAGUAGAUCGUCUCGUCAACUCCAACAACAAACUGCCGAUAUCAACGAGCGGUUCGCUCCACUGGAGCGUUCGGGACUCUGCGGGUUUCUGUCCAUGGAGGAGAGGAACUGACUCAAAGAAGAGGAGACGGGCGCACAAUCCCACGAUAGCGAUGCCUGUGAGACGUAUUCUCAGGAGCUUCAGGUUCAGGCGGAACACUCAUUGCGGAGUUCAGCGCGGAGUCGAGCGAGAAGAAAGCGGGUCAGAGUUUAUUUGCUGACUUGUUUCAGCUGCUGGAAUCAAGACAAAGUGUGCUGGCUGAUGACGAGGUGGAACGCUGGAAAUCCGCCACCGUGGAGCUCACGUCGGACGGAGGGGACGGCGUUGUUGGCGGGGUCUCGGGUGGAUUGUACGGUCGCCACACGCACACGAGCCGCCUGCACAACAGACCUGCCUCGGAAAACACGUCGCCAGUGACGGUCAACAACCCCGAGGAGGCAAACGGACAGUUUACUGAGCUGUAGUUUUUAAACCGCCGUUACCCAAGUGUGGGCAGAUCCUCACUUUGUAUGUAGUUGUUGUUUGUGUGUUGUUAAUAAAGCUUU